rnacentral:rRNA from 1 species
AGAAUCAACGCUGGCGGCGUGCCUAACACAUGCAAGUCGAACGAGAAAGUGGGCGCAAUCCCACGAGUAAAGUGGCGCACGGGUGAGUAACACGUGACUAACCUACCCUUGAGUGGGGGAUAACCUAGGGAAACCUGGGCUAAUACCGCAUAAUACCUACGGGUCAAAGGAGCAAUUCGCUUAAGGAGGGGGUCGCGGCAGAUUAGUUAGUUGGCGGGGUAAUGGCCCACCAAGACAGUGAUCUGUA